rnacentral:lncRNA from 1 species
UUUCUAGGCAGCCCUAUCCAUAAGUCAUCCCAGACAAACCAAGCUAUUCAGCUUUCUAUUUACACAAGGUUCAUUGCAUAUUCCUUAGAGGCUGGGGCAAACAUCACAGAGCUCAAAUUUACGGCCUGGUUGUUCCAUUUUCAACCUCAGAGGGGGAUAUUUAUGUCUUUGCAAAGCUAAGCCACUGAAUUCCCUCUCAAUGUUUCAAGAGAUUUGCCUGGCUAUAUCCUCCAUUCACUCUAAUGGAAAAACUGGAAAGGAAAGGGUAGUUUCAUGUGAACAUGAAUUUUUUUUUUUUCCAACCUGAAGUCCCUGGAACCUACAGGGGGCCCCUGGCUCAUUGGCAUUUACCACUAUGGUUGCACUUAGCAACAGAGAAACUGCUAAGCAGUUGAAGCCUUGGGUGACCCUCGUAUUUGUUACCUGUUGGUGUACCCCAGGCAGGGUCCUAAACUCUACCCGCAUCCAUUUACAACACUUCUCACCCAUCUAAAUGAGAAGAAAGGGUAGACGAAGACAUGAAACAUGAUAGACACUGAUUUUUCUCUAUGAAAGGAAAGCAGCCAUGUAGCUUGCUUGCACACCACACUCCACUCUGCCGCUUGUGUAGACAGGCCAUUCAUAGGUGCGGGUGUCCAUUGGCAAUAUAAGUCCUAACCUGCUUCCCAACGGGGAGCAUGUGAUAUCAUAAAGAAAGGUAAACAAAGGCAAAGUGACUGAGAAAGAAAUGGAGGAUGGAGCAGGAACAAGGAGGCUUCGAGUCAACCACAAGCUGCACAAACUGUGGUCUUGCUGUUCCCUCAAACCUCCAGAAGAUGUGUGUGCCUUAGGCUGGAGCCAUGUGCCUGUUCCCUUUGACGGAAGUGGUAGCACCACUUGGAUCAUUAUCCUUGAACUGGAGUCAUCACGUGACCAAGGGCAACCCACUCAAACAGGAAAGCCUGAAGGGUUCCUCCAUGGAGUUUAAACUCUAAGGGAGAUGGAACGGUCUACUUUGUGAAGA